rnacentral:lncRNA from 1 species
AGAUAUCAGAAAGUUAAAGUUUCUCUUGCUGCCAUCAUGUAAGAAGGACCUUUUACCUCCCACCAUGAUUCUAAGGCCUCCCCAGCCACGUGGAACUGCUUUCAUUUGGUCUCUUUUCGAAUCAGAAGACCCAGAAAACUUGGAUCCACUUCUGGCUCUCAUCCCUCUGGGCAGUGUGAUUUGGAUUGAGCAGAUGCUCUGGGUGCCACUCCAUCAUAUACUGGAAACAGCAUUACUUUAUAUUAAAUCAUGACCAUGGUGUAUGGCAAUGAAGGUGCAUCUGAAGCAGCCGGCACCCUAUGUGCUAGCUGGCUUUUAGAGCAGGAGACUGUGAAUCUGUGGUCAGGAUCUCUUUAGGGCUGGCUAAAUAUAUACUACCCACUAUCACUCACUGGAGCUGCAGACCCUAGUCUUAGAGUUUCACUUCUUAAAGACCUUCAUCCUUAUUAAAAUGGUAAUAUCCUUACUGUCA